CAAGCAUUUACUCAGUCUGGGGUGUUAGGCACAGGAAAACUAGCAACAUCCUUCCUCUAGCCAAGGACCUUGUAAUCUUGUUAGAGAGACAAGAAUCUGGGCUCUUAAACAAUCAACGUCCUGUAUAAGGGACAAAAAGGGAAGACACAGGGAACAAAUAAAAGCCAUUUCCUUUUUGAGAACUUUCUUACCUCCAGAACACAAGGAAGUGGGCUUUGGCAAUGAUCUCGGCAGAAACCUCAGCCACAGACCACUGGGCGAUCAAGAAUGCUGCUGUGGCUUCCUGGGGACCCACAGCGCCUGUCCACAUGGAUCAAAUAACUCAAGUGAGUCAAACUUCCUCUCCCUGAACUGUGCAGACGUGGCCCCAGGCUUGGAGGCUUCUGGAAACCCUCAGAUGUCGAGUAUCGACUGGACAGAGCAUCCAGGUGUCCGGCUGAACUUUUCUGUAUUCACGCAGAUGUUCUAAGUCACAGGCAGUGGACGGAGUUCCUUGGAAUACUCACAAGGCCUCAGUCGUUACAGGAGCUGGAUCCUCUCCAGUCCGGGGUUCACCAGUUGAGAUCCUGGACAUGGACACACGCACCACUCAUCAGGCCAUGCCGAGGCAGC
rnacentral:lncRNA from 1 species